AGGAAAUGUUCUGUUGACCAAGGCAUGGGUAACUUUCAAAUUUGUGGGAUGAACUAACGAAGCCAUGCGUUAAGGGGAUCGUUAUACAUACCAAUAUGAUUUCUCUCAGAUUCGAUUGCCUUUGCCUAGAGUAGCAUCAGAAAAUGGUAACAUAAAUAUAUUAGAGCGCAACUAAACUUUGCACUCAUUUUCAUUCUGAUAGGUGAAAUUCAAUUUGAAUGAAUCUCAUGUUUUCUGACUGGAAUCAGGAUAAAAUGCCUUUAAAAGAUUGCUUUGGAAAUCCCAAUAAAUGGUGAUAAUAAUAAAUUAAUAGUAAGAAGUAGUACA
rnacentral:misc_RNA from 1 species